UUAUGCACAGCAAUGUGAUAAAAUGCCAGAUUUUUGCUUGUUAGACAACUGAAAUAUUCUACCAUGUGAGAGUACUCUUGCACAGUAUUGUCAGGCAAGUCUGGCUGAAUGCAAUCUUGGCUACCAAGCCUCCGCUAUCAAGCAAAACAAAGAAACCAGACAAGAUGCUGGAAAAUUCUAACUCCAAACUGGGUGUUGUGAUUCCAAAAUCAUAUGGUCCAGUUUAAUCACGGUGAAUGUGAUGAACAGCUGCUCAUCUAGUUUUUGUGCAGUGAAGCAAUAACUCUAUGGAAUUUGCUUGACUUGCAAAUAAAUGAAAUGGAACUGUAUAAUCUUGUUUACUUGUUAUUGAAGAAAACAGAA